GAUGAACGCUGGCGGCGUGCUUAACACAUGCAAGUCGAACGGUGAACGAGGGAGCUUGCUCCCUCCGGAUCAGUGGCGAACGGGUGAGUAACACGUGAGCAAUCUGCCCUGGACUCUGGGAUAAGCGUUGGAAACGACGUCUAAUACCGGAUACGAGGCGUGGGGGCAUCCCCAACGCCUGGAAAGAACUUCGGUCCAGGAUGAGCUCGCGGCCUAUCAGCUAGUUGGUGGGGUAAUGGCCUACCAAGGCUUCGACGGGUAGCCGGCCUGAGAGGGUGACCGGCGACAAUGGGACUGAGACACGGCCCAGACUCGUACGGGAGGCAGCAGUGGGGAAUAUUGGACAAUGGGCGGAAGCCUGAUCCAGCAACGCCGCGUGAGGGAUGACGGCCUUCGGGUUGUAAACCUCUUUCAGCACAGACGAAGCGCAAGUGACGGUAUGUGCAGAAGAAGGACCGGCCAACUACGUGCCAGCCGCCGCCGUAAGAC
rnacentral:rRNA from 1 species